GGUCCUACGGGACGCAGCAGUGGGGAAUAUUGGGCAAUGGAGGCAACUCUGACCCAGCAAUGCCGCGUGAGUGAUGGAGGUAAUUUUAUUGUAAAGCUCUUUUCUUUGGAACGAAUAAAUGACGGUACCAAAGGAAUAAGCACCGGCUAACUCCGUGCCAGCAGCCGCGGUAAUACGGAGGGUGCAAGCGUUACUCGGAAUCACUGGGCGUAAAGAGCGCGUAGGCGGGAUAGCAAGUCAGAUGUGAAAUCCUAUGGCUUAACCAUAGAACUGCAUUUGAAACUGUUAUUCUAGAGUAUG
rnacentral:rRNA from 1 species